UUCAUUGUCAAUGUUUACUUCCGGGUUUCGUUCAAGGCGCGUUUUCCGAUUGGUCGGAGCGUCUUGCGUGCGUCUGACGUUGCAGCGCCGCCGCCAUUCCCCUGCGCGUCGUGGAGCACGUACAGUACGGCGUGUAGAUCCUUGUCGAAACAAAAAAAAAACACAUCAUCUGCAAAUUUGUGACGGUUUGUGAUUUAUUUAUCAACUAAAAUUCAAUUUUUCUAAUUAUAUUUAAUCGCCUUUGUAAUAAAUUGUGUUAUUAAUAACAGUAAAUUAGCUAGCUGCGAAGGUUAUGUUGUUUAUGUUGGUGUUAGCGUGCUAAUUUAUCUUUCAGCAAUAUAAAAUACAAAAUAAACAUAAACGAAAGGUAAUAAAUGAAACAUAAUGUAUUAUAUUAUAAAAACUAUAUACAGUCGAACCCACUUAUCUCGUCCACGGUUAACUCGCUUAACUGUCUAUUGUUCUAUGUCGCCGAACCCUAAUAUCUCGACCACAAGGGGGCGCAAAUUUGCCACUUAACGUCGGUUAUCUCGAUCUCCAUGACCAAUCGCCGGCUUUUGAAAAUAUUAGUUAUCGAUGCCACUUCAUCAUCUCACUACUGUAUUUUCGCAUAUAUAAGAGGCGUCUUAUACACAGUUUUACAUACCCCUCAUUCAGGGUGCGUCUUAUAAGGCGUAGGCGUCUUAUCUAAGUAUUUACACGAACGGUACAGUGUGCGAUAUUGAAGGACGAUUAUUGCGCUCGAUAUUUACGUUUCACGAUUUUCAUUCCGUGUUCAGUAAUAACCACAAUGAUCGUACUGUACUUGGUUCACUGCGCAAGAGUUCACGUAACACGUGAUCAGGGUUUGCAAGGUCGUUCACUCCAAUGACAGUUCACUCCUGCUUGUUGAUCUUGUCUAAAGGAUAACAUGCUGUAGCUAUUCUUUUUUUUUUUCCUUCUAAAGAUGUCUGGCGGUGUUAAGAGAAAACUGGACAAUCAGUCAAUAGAGAAAAAGUAUGAAAUCAUACUGCAGCUAGAAAAAGGAAAAAAACCGGCGGACCUCAGUCGUCAGCAUGGCAUUCCAGCAAACACCAUUUCAGGAUGGAAAAAGAAGACCGGCGUGAUAAAGGAAACGUACGAGAAGUCUGUUUUUGAUCCAUCAAGAAAAAAACUUAGAGUGGCAAAGCACAAAGAUCUCGAAGACGCGGUGUUUCAAUGGUUUACAAAUACGCGAGCAACAAACCUUCCCGUCAAUGGGCCCUUGCUGAUGGAGAAGGCUUCCAUCCUCGCUGCAAAGCUAGGACACCCCGACUUUAAAGCAUGUCAGGGGUGGCUGGAUCGUUUCAAAAAGAGGCACAACAUUGUCUUCAAAGCAAUUUGUGGAGAGAGCACUGCGGUUCAACGGGAACAAUGGCUGAAGACUCAAAUGCGCAGAAUUUUGGAUACCUAUGAGAUUCGGAACAUUUUUAAUGCUGAUGAAACUGCAGUGUUUUGGAAAUGCCUUCCAGAAAAGGCGUUUCGUGGGGAGGCGCGUCACGGUGGAAAAAACUCAAAGGACCGGCUUACAGUGCUAGUUGCUGCUAACAUGGAUGGAAGCCAAAAACUCCCGCUCUACGUUAUAGGAAAGUCCAAGAAUCCCCGAUGCUUUAAGCGGACCAAAGUUCUCCAAUGUGAUUACGAUAGCCAGCCAAGCGCCUCGAUCACCGGGGAUCUAUUCAGUGCAUGGGUGAAAAAGUGGGACAGGAAGUUCCAAGCAGAGAAAAGGAAGGUGGCACUGAUCGUGGACAACUGUAGAGCGUAUCCAGAUGUUCCUGGUCUCAAGGCCAUUAAGAUCUUUUACCCCCCACCUAACACAACGGGUAAGCUCCAACCAAUGGACCAGGGGAUAAUCCAAGUUCUUAAGGUGCACUACAGGAAAUUGUUGAUGCGCCAAUACCUGCUCCAUGAUAAAAAGAAGGCACAGUACACCCCUUCCCUUCGAGAUGCAAUAAACUUCCUGAGAUCAGCCUGGAAUGACGUGAAGAAAGAAACAAUUUCCAACUGCUGGAUGCACUGCGUGAUUCCGGAUAUUUCCGGUGGGGAACAACUUGCGGAAGUGCAGGAAAAAUCAAGCAUUGUAGAUGCUAUCUUGAAAGAGGAGGCACAGGAGUUAGCCAUCACUGUCCAGGAAUUCCGAGAUUACAUAGAAAUCGACAAAGACGUCGUUACUCGUAGAGCGAUCACAGAUGACGACAUCGUAUCAAGUGUGCAGUCAGCGCAGGCGAGCACAUCCGCAUGCGGCAAUCACGAAGAUGAUGAAGAAGAUGCGGACGAAGAUUUGAAACCAAUUCCCUCAGCUGUUGAGGUGGUAGAAAUGCUACAGAAAAUUCGACGGUACGAUUCAGCAUCCUGUCCAUCAAUCCUGAACCACCAUGGAGGGUUGCCCUUUAUCCUGUUCGUUUUAUAACUGUAAGCGGACCUACAGUCACCCAGACGCUCUGAACAGUCACGUGAAGGAUCAUCAUAAGAACCCGGCACAGUCUCUGCCUGGGAAGUCCUUUCUGUGCUCGACAAUAGGAUGCGAAGGAUCUUUCUCCAGCAUGCAGCAGCUGAUGGAUCACAUGAGGACUCACCACAAGCCGAAUUGUUUUUUUCU